ACAGGCUGAUCUUCCCCAAGAGCUCACAUCGACGGGAAGGUUUGGCACCUCGAUGUCGGCUCUUCGCCACCUGGGGCUGUAGUAUGUUCCAAGGGUAGGGUUGUUCGCCCAUUAAAGCGGUACGUGAGCUAGGUUCAGAACAUCAUGAGACAGUUC
rnacentral:ncRNA from 1 species